AUGGCUCUAACCCGAAUCAACACAAGUGUUCUGUGCUUGAUGGCACUUUUGAUGGUUUCAAUCACUUUUUUGUCAUGUGAAGCAUCAGGGAGGAACAUAGGCCUGGAAGACGCCACUUGCGGUGGAUACCAGGAACCCUACGAUCCUUCCCCUUGUCCAAAUGUUAACGCGUGUGAUCACUACUGCAAGCAAGAUGGUAAGGGAAGUGGGACCUGCCGUAAUGGCGCAUGCUGUUGCUCCAAACGUUUGUAG
rnacentral:rRNA from 1 species